rnacentral:rRNA from 1 species
GGGGCCCUACGGGCGCAGCAGUGGGGAAUAUUGCACAAUGGGGGAAACCCUGAUGCAGCGACGCCGCGUGAGUGAAGAAGUAUUUCGGUAUGUAAAGCUCUAUCAGCAGGGAAGAAAAUGACGGUACCUGACUAAGAAGCCCCGGCUAACUACGUGCCAGCAGCCGCGGUAAUACGUAGGGGGCAAGCGUUAUCCGGAUUUACUGGGUGUAAAGGGAGCGUAGGCGGCAAGGUAAGCCAGAAGUGAAAGCCCGCGGCUCAACUGCGGGACUGCUUUUGGAA